rnacentral:lncRNA from 1 species
UUAUUAUGAGUGGAAAUGAUGAGGUAGUGGGAAGAGGUAAGAAUUUUAAGAGCUGUAAAUAAGGAGUGGCUGCUAUGGAAACAAGUCCUGAUGCAUGACAGAGGAGGAAAGCUAUCAGUCCUGUGGUUAAAGAGGGGACAUUUCCACUAGAUUUCCAAUUGCAUAUGGAAUCAAGAAAGAAGCAACUGGGAAUUACUUCACACAGCAAAUCUAAGGAAGAGACUGUUAAUUUGGCUUUGCCAGUUACUCCUUCUCAAGGCCCAUAAUUAAAUGUGAGUUUCUGGGCACUAAUGCAAAAGCCAGAUUUGCUCUGAGCCUGCGGGGCUUAUAAAUUGGUUGCUUUUGCAAACUGUUAUUGUUCCUUUAGGUCAAGAGGGGA